ACAACAACAAGUCAAGCAGCAUCCUAGCUCCAGUACAAGAUCCGAGUACAAGCUGGAGAGCGGGCUAGAGACCUGGAAUGCAAGAUGUGGAGAGCAAGCACAAAUUUGAGCUGAAAUGUUAUAAGAUCAUGAGUAGAUGUUUUGUGAGUUGAACACUGUCACCCAUAAUAUCAUGAGUAUUUCCUUGAGAAGAUAGGAAGAAUUAUGUUAAAUGAUUUAGUUUGUAUUAAAUUAAAUAUCAAAAUCA